rnacentral:rRNA from 1 species
GUGGGGAAUAUUGGGCAAUGGGCGCAAGCCUGACCCAGCAACGCCGCGUGAGGGAAGAAGGCUUUCGGGUUGUAAACCUCUGUCCUUGGUGACGAAGAAAGUGACGGUAGCCAAGGAGGAAGCCCCGGCUAACUACGUGCCAGCAGCCGCGGUAAUACGUAGGGGGCGAGCGUUGUCCGGAAUUACUGGGCGUAAAGGGUGCGUAGGUGGCCUUUAAGUUGGAUGUGAAAUACCCGGGCUUAACUUGGGGGGUGCAUCUAAUACUGGGAGGCUAGAGUGCAGGAGAGGGAAGCGGAAUUCCUAGUGUAGCGGUGAAAUGCGUAGAUAUUAGGAGGAACACCAGUGGCGAAGGCGGCUUUCUGGACUGUAACUGACACUGAGGCACGAAAGCGUGGGGAGCAAACAGGAUUAGAAACCCCGGUAGUCC